rnacentral:rRNA from 1 species
CCCUGCCAUUUGUACACACCGCCCGUCGCACCUACCGAUUGAAUGGUCCGGUGAGGCCUCGGGAUUGUGACCAGUUCACUUCAUUGUGAGUUGGUUGCGAGAACUUGUCCAAACCUUAUCAUUUAGAGGAAGGUGAAGUCGUAACAAGGUUUCC